AGACCUGACUGCUAUCGGAUUGAUACUAAGCCAUGCGAGUCAUUGUAGCAAUACAAGGCAUACGGCUCAGCAACGCGUAGUCAACCUAACCUAUGGACGGGAAUAACCUCGGGAAACUGAGAAUAAUGCCCGAUAGAACAUUAUACCUGGAAUGGUUUAUGUUCCAAAUGAUUUAUCGCCGUAGGAUGGGACUGCGGCCUAUCAGUUUGUUGGUGAGGUAAUGGCCCACCAAGACUAUUACAGGUACGGGCUCUGAGAGGAGUAGCCCGGAGAUGGGUACUGAGACACGGACCCAGGCCCUAUGGGGCGCAGCAGGCGAGAAAACUUUGCAAUGUGCGAAAGCACGACAAGGUUAAUCCGAGUGAUUUCUGCUAAAGAAAUCUUUUGUUAGUCCUAGAAACACUAACGAAUAAGGGGUGGGCAAGUUCUGGUGUCAGCCGCCGCGGUAAAACCAGCACCUCAAGUGGUCAGGAUGAUUAUUGGGCCUAAAGCAUCCGUAGCCGGCUCUGUAAGUUUUCGGUUAAAUCUGUACGCUUAACGUACAGGCCGCCGGGAAUACUGCAAAGCUAGGGAGUGGGAGAAGUAGACGGUACUCGGUAGGAAGUGGUAAAAUGCUUUGAUCUAUCGAUGACCACCUGUGGCGAAGGCGGUCUACUAGAACACGUCCGACGGUGAGGGAUGAAAGCUGGGGGAGCAAACCGGAUUAGAUACCCGGGUAGUCCCAGCUGUAAACUAUGCAAACUCAGUGAUGCAUUGGCUUGUGGCCAAUGCAGUGCUGCAGGGAAGCCGUUAAGUUUGCCGCCUGGGAAGUACGUACGCAAGUAUGAAACUUAAAGGAAUUGGCGGGGGAGCACCACAAGGGGUGAAGCCUGCGGUUCAAUUGGAUUCAACGCCGGG
rnacentral:rRNA from 1 species